rnacentral:rRNA from 1 species
GACGAACGCUGGCGGCGUGCUUAACACAUGCAAGUCGAACGGAAAGGCCCUGCUUUUGUGGGGUGCUCGAGUGGCGAACGGGUGAGUAACACGUGAGUAACCUGCCCUUUACUUUGGGAUAACUUCAGGAAACUGGGGCUAAUACCGGAUAGGAGCUCCUGCUGCAUGGUGGGGGUUGGAAAGUUUCGGCGGUUGGGGAUGGACUCGCGGCUUAUCAGCUUGUUGGUGGGGUAGUGGCUUACCAAGGCUUUGACGGGUAGCCGGCCUGUGAGGGUGACCGGACACAUUGGGACGGAGAUACGGCCCAGACUCCAACGGGAGGCAGCAGUGGGGAAGAGUGCACAAUGGGCGGAAGCAAGAUGCAGCAACGCCGCGUGCGGGAUGACGGCCUUCGGGUUGUAAACCGCAUUCGCCUGUGACGAAGCGAGAGUGACGGUAAUGGGUAAAGAAGCACCGGCUAACUACGUG